AAAUAUAAUUUGUAAAUAUAUUAAUGUUUACAAUUGCUGUGUAGGUUCUGCAGUGGGCUCUUUAGAGGAUAAAGCUUUUUUACUUCAGUGAAGACAUGAGAGACAGACACAACCCUUCUCAAUAUGUCAUCAAAUGCAAGUUUCAAAAGACUUCUAUGUAUGCGAAGAAGAGCUGAAGCAAUUGAAAGAGUUCUGCAGUGGGGUCUUUAGAGGAUAAAACUUUUUUACUUUAGUGAAGACAUGGGAGACAGACACAACCCUUCUCAAUAUGUAAUCAAGAUUGAUGCUAAAGGGGUGAAGGGCAUAUCAGUGAUAGCUGUAAAGCUCCUAGAAUAAAGAAAACAGGGCUUGAGCUGAACAAAAGAGAAAAGGUGUUAUCUUUUCAAUGCCUGAAACUCAUGCCUCAACAUUCUCUAUACAAAGCAAAAGGUCGAUGAUAAUCAUGUUAAGGAUUUUCGAGUUAAGCUUGAUCUUCAAUUAUCAGAUUUUUAAGGAUCCUAAGGUGCAAGGAAAAUCAAGGCUAUAUUUAAGAUAUUUAAUAAAUAUAUAAAUAAGAAAACCGAAUGAUUUUCCUUCAAAUUGAAUUUGAAAAACCAACUGGUUUUGCUUCGAAAUAUAUCAUGUACGAAAUCAAAUAUUGGUAUAUAUAGUCAUAUAGUAAUAAUUCUAA